rnacentral:rRNA from 1 species
GAGGAAUAUUGGUCAAUGGGCGAGAGCCUGAACCAGCCAAGUAGCGUGCAGGAUGACGGCCCUCCGGGUUGUAAACUGCUUUUAGUUGGGAAUAAAAAAAGGGACUUGUCCCUUCUUGUAUGUACCUUCAGAAAAAGGACCGGCUAAUUCCGUGCCAGCAGCCGCGGUAAUACGGAAGGUCCAGGCGUUAUCCGGAUUUAUUGGGUUUAAAGGGAGCGUAGGCGGAUUGUUAAGUCAGCGGUUAAAGGGUGUGGCUCAACCAUGCAUUGCCGUUGAAACUGGCGAUCUUGAGUGCAGACAGGGAUGCCGGAAUUCGUGGUGUAGCGGUGAAAUGCUUAGAUAUCACGAAGAACUCCGAUCGCGAAGGCAGGUGUCCAGGCUGCAACUGACGCUGAGGCUCGAAAGUGUGGGUAUCAAACAGGAUUAGAUACCCUGGUAGUCCACACAGUAAACGAUGUAUACUCGCGGUUUGCGAUAGACAGUAAGCCGCCAAGCGAAAGCAUUAAGUAUACCACCUGGGGAGUACGCCGGCAACGGUG